ACACUUUUGUCUCAGACACUACCAAACCUCACCCCCACUCACCAUCAGCGCUCGCCACCGUCGCACUUCGACAUCGCCACCUGCAAAUCACCACCGCCACAUAAUCACAGCAAAUGGAGACGAGCUUUUGGGACCAAUGGGAAGAAGAGGCACUUUCCAAGUUGGAAUCUCUGAAACUCCUCUAUUCUCUUCAGACCCAUUCACCCCUAUCAAUGAAUAAUUGAAACCCAUCGAUACCCAGAUCAAGAAUGCUUCAAAAUACGAUGAAUUCGAGGUGUUCGACGGUUUGCGGCAAUGGGGUAGGGCAUCUGUUGAAGUAGUGAUUGCUGAUAGCACAUUUCAGAGAUGGGUUUGUGAGGUUCCGAGUUGUGGUACGGUUAAUUUAAUUGGGUUUCAUUUUGUUUUCUUGUGUUUCAUCUUUUUCUGGGUUUGUUUUGAUUUGAAUGAGUUCUGAGUUUUUGAAUUCAGCA